UGCUGUGAUGCGUGUAAUUUGCGUCAGAUGGUUAGUAGGUGACUGGUAGCCUGCCGUCUUAUGCCUGCUAACCAGAAAUGAUGACAAUUUUUACUGAGCA
rnacentral:snoRNA from 1 species